AUAUCUAACCAAUGUGAGACUCCAACACUCCUCCCUCAAGAGUUUGGCCUCUUUUUUUUGUAGCUUGGCUCUAAGGGUCUAGUUCUUUUUUACUAGCUCAUGGAUCCACCUAAGUUUGACUCGCUGUGGCAUAGCUCACCAUGCUUUUUCGGGUCCCAGAUUGUGGCAUGAUCUGAUACCAUGUGAAAUUUGCUCUAAUUCGGAGAGUGCUGGAGACUAUUUGCAUGAUUUUGUUAGCUUGGAGUUGCCUCCACAAAAAUAGCUUAAGCCAAUUUGGCUUGUCUCCCCCUUGCUUUAUAUUCUCUUUCAAUUCUUUGUAUCUAACCAACAUGGGACUCGAAGCCUCCAACAGUAAUAUUAGAUAUUUCAUGAUCAACUUGUGAACGGUGAGUGACUUCACUGCUCUUGCAUCAAGGUUUAACCCAUUUAAAUUAAUGUGUAUGAGAUAAUACGAGAGUUACAAACAAAGAAUCCUAAUUAAGAUGAAUUACAAGUUUGGAGACACUUUUUUUGGGCAGACAUAACCGACAACAUUAGAAUAUGUGUUGGCCAAUAAGAAUUUGGAGAAUAAGAUCAGCGUCAGACAUUGGAUGUCCAAUAUAAUGGAGAGAGUAGGCUAAGGACUUGAUCUGCUGAAGACAAUUGGCCAUAGUUUUUGUCCCUUUCAAAGUCUGACUAAGAUUUAAUUUCAACUGAUAUACUUUGCAUUAACAUGACCAUUGAACAGUUUUUCCAUAUUAGAGUAAGUAUGAUGAGCUGUUAAAAAUGCAUUGGGUCAUAAAAAAUGUUUGAGUAGAUCAGGAGAUAUCGUGGCAUGUAACCAAGAAAUUAUGAUGCAAUCAAUUUGCUUUGAAGCUGAAAAACAAGGAUUCAAGGUAGGAAACACCACUAUCAUCAUGAAUAUAUUGAGGACAAUUGAAGAAUAUUGAAAAUGAAGAUCAAGUAAUGGAGGAAUUGAGUGCUUUUGUUUUGGGGUUUGGAGGAGGUGACACUGUAAAAACCUAACGGCUCUGUGAACGAGUGAAUUCACUACUCGUGUUAGGGUUUAACCCUAUUUAUAUUAGUGUAUAUGAGAUAAUACGAGUUAUAAAAAUAGAGUCCUAAUUAAGAUGAAUUACAAGUUUGGAGACACUUUUUUUGGGCAGACAUAACCGACAACAUUAGAAUAUGUGUUGGCCAAUAAGAAUUUGGAGAAUAAGAUCAGCGUCAGACAUUGGAUGUCCAAUAUAAUGGAGAGAGUAGGCUAAGGACUUGAUCUGCUGAAGACAAUUGGCCAUAGUUUUUGUCCCUUUCAAAGUCUGACUAAGAUUUAAUUUCAACUGAUAUACUUUGCAUUAACAUGACCAUUGAACAGUUUUUCCAUAUUAGAGUAAGUAUGAUGAGCUGUUAAAAAUGCAUUGGGUCAUAAAAAAUGUUUGAGUAGAUCAGGAGAUAUCGUGGCAUGUAACCAAGAAAUUAUGAUGCAAUCAAUUUGCUUUGAAGCUGAAAAACAAGGAUUCAAGGUAGGAAACACCACUAUCAUCAUGAAUAUAUUGAGGACAAUUGAAGAAUAUUGAAAAUGAAGAUCAAGUAAUGGAGGAAUUGAGUGCUUUUGUUUUGGGGUUUGGAGGAGGUGACACUGUAAAAACCUAACGGCUCUGUGAACGAGUGAAUUCACUACUCGUGUUAGGGUUUAACCCUAUUUAUAUUAGUGUAUAUGAGAUAAUACGAGUUAUAAAAAUAGAG
rnacentral:misc_RNA from 1 species